rnacentral:lncRNA from 1 species
GAAAUAAUGAACACAAUAGAGAACCAAGUUUGAUAUGAGAGAUAAUGUGUUUGGUCUGUUGUCUGAGCUUGCAAUAACGGCUGACAGUUCAAAAUGUUGCGUUCACUGAUUAGCCAAGUGAGUUCGAUAGAUUCUUACUAAAGAAGGUUCAAAGCGAAAGCUACCUAUCUUGAUGCGUUAUCUCUCAGAUAGUACUCUUCUUCCGUCUUCCUUGAUUUGAGUCGACUUCUUCCAUUCAUG